AUUGAACGCUGGCGGGAUGCUUUACACAUGCAAGUCGAACGAGUGGCGGACGGGUGAGUAAUGUAUCGGAACGUGCCCAGUAGCGGGGGAUAACUACUCGAAAGAGUGGCUAAUACCGCAUACUAUCAGAGCGGCCGAUAUCGGAUUAGCUAGUUGGUGGGGUAAUGGCUCACCAAGGCAACGAUCCGUAGCUGGUUUGAGAGGAUGACCAGCCACACUGGGACUGAGACACGGCCCAGACUCCUACGGGAGGCAGCAGUGGGGAAUUUUGGACAAUGGGGGCAAGCCUGAUCCAGCCAUCCCGCGUGUAUGAGAAGGCCUUCGGGUUGUAAAGUACUUUUGGCAGGGAAGCGGUAUCUGCAGAAUAAGCACCGGCUAACUACGUGCCAGCAGCCGCGGUAAUAC
rnacentral:rRNA from 1 species